UGGCAGCGGCGCUCCUCGUGCUGCAAGACUAUGGCGAUUCUUCGGGAAAGAUUAUGUAAGCAGUUUAUCACAGAUGGAUCUGCAUUGGCCUACAGGCAACACAGAAAAGAAACAGGAUUUCAAACACAUCCUACAGCCCCCCCUAUUCUUUCUGCAGAAGAGAGCUUCAGCCCUAACUCAGGUACAGACUUUCUGGUGAGAAGGAACAGUGGAAGCCAUCACAUGCAAGUUGAGGUUCUGCAUUAAGACAAAACAACCCUGAAUGGAGCAAGUGUCACCACAAGAUGGAGCACAAAAUCUGGAGGACAUUUCUGCCGCCCCCAAAGUUCCCUGCUGAACACCCAUCCAAUCCCACGUGAAAUCAGCUAUAACCUAUGGGGCCAAAAACCCAGGCAACCUAAUACUGGGUCUCUACGCAACACGAGCAUGUGUAGCUAAUGCAGCAUCUGAGACAGAGCAAAUGCAGAGAUGCUGGCAAAAGCAGAGCUGCAUCCACCCUUCCUGACACGUCCCAAGCAUCAGCAACAAACUGCUCAGCAGUAAGCUCCAAAAUCUGAGUGCUUUCACUCAGCAGUCUUAAAAAUUAGAGAAACUAAAAGCAGCAACAAAAUUUUGGGUUUUUUAAGUAUAAGUGAAGUCCUAUCAAAAAGGCCAUGACAGGAGGGUGGUAAAGCCAAUUUACUGUGUUUAUUUGUCUGGACUUACAGGUGCCAGGAUGUCUCGUGAACUUUAAUAGAGACUCAAAAGCAUUUCCAAACAUAGGGAUUGAUUCUGUUUCCUCCUUAAAAUCAAAGAAACUGGCACCAUUAAUAUCAAUUAAAAUGCAGGCUAGAUUUCAUAUCACCUCUUGUCCAGAAAAAAAAGAAGAAAUGACUAAGCUGGAAGAGAAAAUGCUGAAGGAAUUUGAAGAAUUCUGAAUAUUCCUACAUAAAAGGCAGUCUGGCACACAGGAUUAACUGCUUGUGUUCUUGUAACUCCUGAAUCUCAUCUGAGUAAGAAUUUGCUGAGCUGUCCUAUGGAUUAAUUUACUAUAGUAAGAAACCUGGAGAAACCCAAACCAGAGAUUGUCAGGUCUCCCCAGUCACUGCCUUUGGUUUAUGGGAAAGGAGCUCCAUCUAGCUUCCUCCUAACUGCAAAAGGGUCCCAGAUUUAGACGCAAAGGAACUAGCAGAGAUGGCUGCCACGUCUAGAAGUUUCUAGACACUAGAAACUUCUGGUGUGCCUACUGGGGUGAUAAGACACACCCAAAAAGAUCCUACAAGGAGAAGCAAAGUCUUUAAAGCACUUUAUAACUUCCUUCAUUUACCCUGAUGCAUUUUUAUUUGGACAUACUGGAAAUGAAGAGACAUUUCAUGCAAAUAGGAUAAAACUGACUGGGAAGUGGAGAGAAUGUAUAAUAAUAUGUGGUGAAGAAAUGCAAAUACAAGUUUUUAACCUCAUUUACAGCACAUUUUGGAAGUUGUGCCUUUCAGACAAGAUUAACAAAAUAAAGGAAUCUGAUACUGUGAGACAACAUGCCAUGCUGUUAGGGCACCAACAAGUCUUAAUGGCCCUGACCCAUCCCAAUUGGGUCCCUCAGGCUCGUCCCUGGAGCCCCAUUUAAGCUCAGCCCAGGGCCUGUAGGUAUGCCUGCCUCCAGCCCCAUUUCAAGGAUGGGCCUUCAACCUAUGUUGUCAUUGGUAGCUUGUCUCCUGGAUGGACCUCUGGUUAAGAACAUUGCAUUCUUGUCCUCCAGCUCUUUCCCUGGUCCUGUUUCCUUUUUGCUCCUGGCUGGGGGACCCAUAUGAACCCUACGCCUGGUUCAUCACUUGCCUUGACUGGGGGUGUUGAUGUAGUUGCACAGCUUGGGGACGCCUGAAUUCUCUCUUCCAACACAGCUUAAACAUUUGAGGACUGAGUCUCGGUGACCCUACAUCACAUUUCUGGUAGACCCUAGACUGAGUUUCAAAAGUGGAACACGAGCAUCUUUUGAUGCUUGGAGCCAGCUCCUCACUUGGAUUAAAGCAGUCUGGUCCAAAUAUCAAGCAGCAGAUGCUAACAAUCUGUUUCCAUCUCUAAUUAUAGAGAGAACGAUAAAAUCGGCAAGCAGAUUUUUUUUCCUGAAAAAGUGAGUGACUUAGUAAAUGUGAUGAAAAAUGAGACCAAAGCAGUUCAGUGCAAGAGAAAUCAGAGUUAAAAUUCAGAAAUUACCAAAGCCCACUUCAUUCUUACAGUCCAUCUUGUGACUUUGUCCACAAGAAGAUUUUAGACCUCUUUCAACUUCCUGCCUGUUCUAAGCAAGCCUUGUGAAUGACCUUUAGCACCAGUAAGAGUUAAAAGCCAAACAAGGCUAAUGAGGCUUCUAGACUUUGUGAAGGUUUUGGGUUUUUUCAACUGCCAUACUAAUUAGAGGUGCUAAAAAGCUAACUUGCAAUAACUACUAUAAUGAGAAACAGCUUUUUGAGCUGGACUGCUUAGUGUUACUUCUCUUUACCCACACUAGAGCAACCAGAAAGGGGCCUCUGCGAAUCACUGACACAGCUCCCUCAGUUUGCCACUCACCGUAUUUAUCUGGAAGUAGAAGACAGCUUUGCGCAUCAGGAAGUAAAAACAGGAUCAAAACCCAACACACACAUUCUGAAUUCUGUUUCCUAAGCCAUGCAGUUUGUAAAGAAUGCAGGUCCCCAGAGUGGACCUCAUACCAUACCUGCCCCAGGGCAUGCUGAAGCAAUGUGGGAUGGCCAACAAAGCGAACAUUAUCAAUCUUCAGUUCAAACUUUUUGCCACACAUAUCUGACUUGGUAGCCAAAAUUGUUGCCAGAAUGACAUCCGAAAACCUUGAAGA